AAAACAGAAAGAUGUUUCAAGAUUUGUUUAGCCCAAAGCUAUGCAGAAAUGCUCACAAGGUAGUUCAGAAAAGAAUUUGCAAUUUUGAAACCAGUUUCAAUAUUUCUUAGCAAAUCAAAUUUAACUUUUAUUAGACUUAACUAAUUCAUUGAAAUCAACAAUCAAUUUAUAAAGUACAAUAAACGCAACAAUUUCUUAAAUGAAG
rnacentral:lncRNA from 1 species